CAACCCGUGUAUGGUGACAUAUAGCUGCCGUUCUGGUCAGUUUUUGGCUGAAGCCGUGAACACAUUUCGCUUAACUGAUCGUGCCUUGACCAGGUUCAUGUGCGGACACAAGUGAGAAAAAUGCAAUAUUUAACUAUAGGAGGAAGUAUCUACCCACUCAGCAGUGAAUGCCAACAACAAAUAUGUGAGAUUCUGAGAGCAACUCCUGAAGCUUCAUCUGCGGAUGCUGCUGUUCAAACUGCUACACUUGCAAACAAGAUUCCUUCAAAAGAC